CCCUCACUGGUAAUAAAAGGAGGAUGUGACUUUAACGCUUUGGUAAGCAUGGGUGCUGAUCUUAGCGAAGACAGGCACUUCACGUUGAUCCCGGGGCCUGGUGGCUGGCUGGGCUGCUCUUAGAGAGCGUCAGGUUCUUGUUUGCCUUUCGAAAAACACCUGGUCCUUUACCCCUUGAUGAUUCUAAAAGCGGCAGAUGACUUACUGAGAUAAUGCUGUGUGUUCUGAUAAAAGCAGAAGAGUAAAAAUAUGAGAUGUCGUCCCCUUUCGUUUUAGCUUGCCUUCUCCCUUACACCCCCAACCAGAGGGCACUCUGGGACUUCCGGCCUGUGGAGCAGGGCUUUUCCUCAAGAAAGACGCUGUUGAAUGCUCCUGAGGGGGUCAGGUCAAAUGAGGAAUGAACAAUGUCCUCUGAUUUGUGAAAGUGGAUGUCACUGGUGAAGCUUGCUGGGGUAUUUUGGUGACAUUUGAUGGGACUAGAAGCCAGAUUGGAGCACCUUGGGAAGUGAGUGGAGGCGUCUUGGCCGUACGUGAGGGAUCGUUUUUGGCUUCUCUGGGACUACACUUUAAGAGGGCUCUGGAGCACAUUCAGAAGAAGGUAAACGAAUUCAUCAUUUUGUCAGACAAAAAAAUGGUGGAAAGAAUUAAGGACGAUUCACUUGGUAAAGAGAUGACUUGAAGGGAGCAUGACACCCAUCUUCAAAUAUUUGAGGAAUUACCCUCAUGAAAAAGGAAGAAAAGGGAUGCUAAUGGGCAGAAACUUCAGGAAGAUACAUUUCAUCUCAAUAUAAAUAAGCAACUUCUAACAAAGCCUUGGAAAGUUGUAACAGGCUGCCUUAAGGAGUAAUGGACUCCUCAGCCUUGAAGGUAGUCAAGGUGACUAAAUAUUCAUUUGAUAAAUGAUAGAUAAGUUGUAUAUAAAUGACUGAUUCAUAAGUUAUAGAGUGUAUUUAAGCGUAUGGACGAUGCCUGAUAAAAUAGGCACUCAAAUGUAUCUAUUGAAUGAAUAAAUUAAUGGAGUUGGAAACUACUAUAUCCGAGAGUGUCUGUGAUCCCAUAUAAUUCUCCAACUCUUGGGAAAUCAGAAUCAUGUUUCAGUGAGAAAGGACGGUUUCAGAUCCAGACAGGGCAUUGGCCAAGGCGGGCAGGCCAGAGUGGGGACACUGGGCUUGGGUUGGGAUGGCAUGGUGGUCAGUGGAGUAUGAAGUACGAGGGUGAGGACAGUGCUUAUAGCCAAACCAUCAGCUUCUGAUUUAUCUUGAGUCAGUCUGAGCUCUUGGUAGCAUGAUUACUAUAAGAAUAUCAGAGAAUACUCACACCUUUAUCUCCAAAGGAAAUCCCCAUCAAAGGACAGGAGACAUGGAACCUCAGGUGAACGACCACCCAGGAACUGUAGAACAUACGUUCUGGCGAGCGAAUCAGCAUUCGUAGUAAAUGAAACUAAACUUAUUAAUUCUGAUGUUUGCUUUGGAAGAAUCUUUUUCUCUUUUUUUUUUUAACGAAGAAACAAGGAGCAGAGUAUAUACUUAACAUUGGCUCUUCCACCUGUGACCCUUGACUAAAUGUAUCUUUCAGCUUCUCUCUAUGGCUCCCUUCUCAAACUCUUCUAGGGCGCUGUGGGAAUUUAUAAGUUCUGAUGUUGCUGAUUAAAAGUAGUUUUACAAAAGCCUUGUUGAUUUAGGUGUGAUGGCUACUGAGUAAAUAGCUGUUCUGAAUUGUCAAAAUAUGUUAGCACAACUUGCUGUAAUAAUAUGUUUUGAACUGCAAGGUGGGUGGGUCAACUCUCAUCACAUUAAAUGGGUUCUUUUUUCUUCCCGUGGAUUUUCUUUGACAUUAAAUUGCCAUGGUGACAGAAUACCAGCAUUGCCAAAUAUAUUUUUUCAUGGCUGGAAAAAAAUAUAAACCACAUGCAAUAAAGCAAACCAUGGAAACAGUUUAACUCCACAUAUCCAGAGCUGACAUUCAGACUGGACAAACCAGUCUAUGUGCAGGAUAUAUAUUCUUGUGGAGUUGGCUACAAUACGUGUAGAACUAUUAAGAUCAAGAGCCAAGAGAUAAAGAAUUAAGCAAAAAGGUCUUUGUGGUUUAUAAUUCUAAAAAGGAAAUAAGAACAACUCUCAAACUAGGGUGAAGAUGAAAGUAAAGAGAAAGGAUGAUAAAGGUCUUUACCACGUGUAGAAUUUACGUGGGAACUAAGGGUGAGCACCACGAAUUUGAGCCUUAUCAUCCAAAGCUGACCCCUUCUCCAGAAGCAGGAAUCAUCUGGAAGGCACACUUUGUCUAGCUGUCCUUCAUCCCUCAUUCCAGCUACUUGCUAGGAGUUAUUGCUGGCUCCUUACAAUUGCUUUAUCAGAGAAGAAUACUCAUAGAAGGUUAGGACUGAAAAGACUUGUAAGAUCACAUGGCCCAACUUCUUCAUUUUACCCAUGAGAAAAAACGAUGCUCACAAAGUUUCUGUGGUUAUCCCUGCCCACACAGGAAGCCGGUGGCAUCAACGUGGGUAACAGCUAACAACUGUUGCAACAGGGUUGUAUUUUAAGCACCUUAAAGAUACUAGGUAAUUUAAUCCUCUCAACAGGCUCAUGAAGUAGAUACUAAUAUCUUGACCAUUUUACAGAUAAGAAGAAUUUGCGUUACUUGUUCCAAGUAAAAGGCAGGAAGUAGCCAAGCAAAGACUCAAACACAGGCAUCCAUGUUGGAGAAAGUCAUGGAUUUUUAAAGAUAAAUUUAUGUUGCAAUUCUUGCAUCGGCAUUUACCUGCUAUGAGAUCUUGGGCAGUUUGCAAAACUGUCUAAGCCUCAGUCCCCCAUCUGUAAAAAAGAGUGACUGAGAUUAUGAAUGUCUCAGCAUAGUGCCUGGCACUUAGUAAAUGCUCAAUAAACAGUUGUAUUAGGAUUGUUAUCAUCAUUUUAUUAUUUUUAUAUUUCAGUCCUCUGGAGUCUAUCUAGGGCUCUCAGUUAAACUGUUUAUCUUAUCAUCAAAUAUCUUCCAAACACGUGUCUAAAUGUGAUGCUUAUAAAGCCGUGGACCACAUUUGUCAGUACUGGAGCUGCCGUUGGUUAAAAGUACACAGCCUGACCAACAAAAGUAAUUAAAAAAAAUUGUUUAGUCUUCUCUUUUCUUCUUAGUUUUUGAGUAUUGUUAAGGGUAUAUAUGUAGUUUCCAGACUUCUCAACUCGCUUCAUUCCUCUCUUAAUUCUCUACCCACACGGAAAACAGCUCCUCUCAGUGACUCCUCCUCCUGCCCCCUCCCCCACAUCCCCUAUAUAUAAAUGUGUAAUUGGAUUGUAUUGCUCAAGGCCACCUUAGGUAAAAACGUCUGUAUGUGAUCAUCACAUUUCAGAGUCUACAGUUUCCUUAAAAAUCAUGUCAUCCAAUCAUUGUUUGGGGAGGAUGUGAGUUGAGGGAUGUGGGUAGGAUUUAUGAUUUUAAGUUCUAGUCCAGAUGAUCAGCCCCAUUCCAGCAUGACUGCAUGGUUUAUCCUACAUACAGAUUUUUCACCUUUUCUCAAUAGCCAACAAUUCUGUCUCUGCCAGUUCCAUCAAGCCAACAACUGCCCAGAUUUAGAAAUGUUAGUCCAGUUAUUGAUCUAUGGGAAAUAACAACAGUAACAGUGUUCACCUGGAUGUGGAGUUCCAUAUUAUAGAAGAUUUCCAGGUAAGGUACGGUGGAUUAAAAGCAGCAAUAUUUUUCUAGUAUCAAUCAUGCUAAAGUUCGGGUGACUCAAUGUUCUUACAGAUUCUGAAUCUCAUUAAGGUUGUAACUGUGUCCAAAGUUAUUCCAAAAUACGUAAGUCUCUAUCAUGGGAGCUCUUUGCCAAGGUUGGGAUAGAAGCUGGUUUAAGAGCCUGGAAGGAGAGACAGAAGGUAUGCAUGUGCGUGAGAAGGGGAAUAAUGUUGCAAAACAUUUGGAAAGUGACUUUAAAUUUCAUGAGGAUAGGGAUAACUUAUUAUGCAGAAUUACUCUAAUAGCACAUUCAACUCUAUAAUUCCCAAUGAUGUUGACGAUUUAUUCCUUUGUGCUUCUUCUUGUAUCCAAAAGAGAUGGUUGGUAGAGCCAAUCACUCUUUAUCUCAGUUUAGAUAGAGAAAAGCACAAUAAUAUGGAAUCAACAGUAGAUCAUGGUUUUAUCUUCCAAGAUAUUAAAGCUCAAAUUCACUCAUUCAUUUAUUUCAUUUACUUAUUCAUUCAUUUAUUUAUUGAUUCAUUCAUCCAUCUAGUCAACAAAUAUUUAUUGAGCACAUACUAUGAUCCACCCAGAAGCGAUCAGGGUCUAUAGGCUGACUUAUAGCAGCCCAAGUGAGAGAAUGCUCGUUCAUUUCUAAAGAGGGAUAGUCUUUUCUCAUAAUCAGAGUUCUUGGGAAUGCCCGCUCUGAGACAACUCAAAUUUGUCAGAAGAUUGCUUGCAGAAUGUGGAAUCAAAACCAUGAUUGUUGUCUGACUUUUUGUUUCUUUCGUUAGACUAUGGAACAGUCUGGAACACGUACCUCUGCUAUAGCAGCAAUGAUUACAUUCAAUAUCCAUUCUACAAAACUUAUCACGUGAAUGUUAUGAGCCUAGCACUGUAUCAGUCUGCUGUGGGCAUGAAGAAAAUCAAAGCUGAACAGAAAUUCCAUUCGUCCAGUUCUCUCGGAGCCUGGGAAGAGGCCAAGCAGGCCAGCAGAGACGACCAGGAUGGUUGUCAACGACUUCUCCACAUUUUCUCCUGCUCCCCCACCAUCUAGAGCCUAGAGUCUCUUGCAGCGUUGGUUUUCUAGCUACACUGUCCUUCCUUUCCAUCAAGCUGUGCUGAGCACCGUCAACCACGAGAGCUAACAGCAAGGAGAAGGCAGAAUGUGUAUUUUUUUUUUAAAAAAGUCUCAAGACCUCUAGCAGCUCAGCCAUCUGAGGCCAUUUGGCCUGACCAGUGUGAACACCCAUUAUGUGACAGGAUUCUCCACAUCUUAAGAGAAGAUAUCGUUACAGGAUAGAAUCAUUUGUCUUCAUAGUCACAAGUUGAGUGAUCAAGAAAAAUUAAAAUAUUGUUGCUAAUAUUAGCCAAUUUAUUGAAAACCUUCCGUUUGUCAGGAUAAUUGUCAGGGCUUUAUAUAUAUUUAUAUAUAUAUUUUCUCAGUUCAUCUGUAUAUUUUCUAUUUAAAAAGGCAGGGAAGCAUGUAAUGUAUUUUUAAACAAUUUUCAUUCAAAAUGCUAAUGUUUUUUAACUUUGUCACUUAAAAGUGAAACACAUGAGCUGCUUGCAAUAAUAAUGCAAAUGAAGAUCCUUUCCUCAUUUUCUUUCCUCAAACUCAUUCUGUGAUAGUAAAGAAAGACUUAAGCUAAGGUUGGAGAGGUAAAACGAAAUGCUAAAAUAAAAACACCAGCUGACUGUUUCUGUCGAGUGAGAGAUCUUUCCAACUUUUCUUGGUCCCAGAGCAUCAAAGAUUGUGAUUUUAGCCACCCAUUCUUUUCCUUGCUGACUCCCGCCACCCUUGAGGACGUAAUCACGGUCCCGGUGGCAGCAGGAGUUGAAGGGGCGGGGGGAGAACAUCCUUCGAGGCCUCCACCCGCAUUCCCCGUCAGCUCGGGUUUAUCCUGUUCCGCUCACGAAGUUCUGACGUCACCCUGUCGUCUUCCUCCUCUUUCA